UACAGAGGUCCCGAGCGUUGUUCGGAUUCAUUGGGCGUAAAGGGUGCGUAGGUGGCGCCGUAAGUCAGGUGUGAAAUUUCGGAGCUUAACUCCGAAACUGCAUUUGAUACUGCGGUGCUUGAGGACUGGAGAGGAGACUGGAAUUCACGGUGUAGCAGUGAAAUGCGUAGAUAUCGUGAGGAAGACCAGUGGCGAAGGCGGGUCUCUGGACAGUUCCUGACACUGAGGCACGAAGGCCAGGGGAGCAAACGGG
rnacentral:rRNA from 1 species